GGGGGGGGGGGGGGGGGGGGGGGGGGGGGGGGGGGCGGGGGGGGGGGGCCGGGGGUGGGGGGGGGCUCGAGUGGCGAACGGGGGGGGGACACGUGGGGAACCUGCCCUUGACUUUGGGGUAACUUCAGGAGACUGGGGCUAAUACCGGAUAGGAGCUCCUGCUGCCUGGGGGGGGUUGGAAAGUUUCGGCGGUUGGGGAUGGACUCGCGGCUUAUCAGCUUGUUGGUGGGGUAGUGGCUUACCAAGGCUUUGACGGGUAGCCGGCCUGAGAGGGUGACCGGCCACAUUGGGACUGAGAUACGGCCCAGACUCCUACGGGAGGCAGCAGUGGGGAAUAUUGCACAAUGGGCGGAAGCCUGAUGCAGCAACGCCGCGUGCGGGAUGACGGCCUUCGGGUUGUAAACCGCUUUCGCCUGUGACGAAGCGUGAGUGACGGUAAUGGGUAAAGAAGCACCGGCUAACUACGUG
rnacentral:rRNA from 1 species